rnacentral:rRNA from 1 species
AGAGUUUGAUCAUGGCUCAGGACGAACGCUGGCGGCGUGCUUAACACAUGCAAGUCGAACGGUAAGGCCCUUCGGGGUACACGAGUGGCGAACGGGUGAGUAACACGUGGGUGAUCUGCCCUGCACUUUGGGAUAAGCCUGGGAAACUGGGUCAAAUACCGAAUAGGACUCCGGACUGCAUGGUCUGGGGUGGAAAGCUUUUGCGGUGUGGGAUGGGCCCGCGGCCUAUCAGCUUGUUGGUGGGGUGAUGGCCUACCAAGGCGACGACGGGUAGCCGGCCUGAGAGGGUGACCGGCCACACUGGGACUGAGAUACGGCCCAGACUCCUACGGGAGGCAGCAGUGGGGAAUAUUGCACAAUGGGCGCAAGCCUGAUGCAGCGACGCCGCGUGGGGGAUGACGGCCUUCGGGUUGUAAACCUCUUUCACCAGGGACGAAGCGCAAGUGACGGUACCUGGAGAAGAAGGACCGGCCAACUACGUGCCAGCAGCCGCGGUAAUACGUAGGGUCCGAGCGUUGUCCGGAAUUACUGGGCGUAAAGAGCUCGUAGGUGGUUUGUCGCGUUGUCCGUGAAAACUCACAACUCNAUUGUGGGCGUGCGGGCGAUACGGGCAGACUGGAGUACUGCAGGGGAGACUGGAAUUCCUGNUGUAGCGGUGGAAUGCGCANAUAUCAGGAGGAACACCGGUGGCGAAGGNGGGUCUCUGGGCAGUAACUGACGCUGAGGAGCGAAAGCGUGGGGAGCGAACAGGAUUANAUACCCUGGNAGUCCACGCCGUAAACGGUGGGUACUAGGUGUGGGUUUCCUUCCU